AUUGAACGCUGGCGGCAUGCUUUACACAUGCAAGUCGAACGGUAACAGCACUUCGGUGGCUGACGAGUGGCGAACGGGUGAGUAAUACAUCGGAACGUGCCUAGUAGUGGGGGAUAACUACUCGAAAGAGUAGCUAAUACCGCAUGGGAUCUAAGGAUGAAAGCAGGGGACCUUCGGGCCUUGCGCUACUAGAGCGGCUGAUGGCAGAUUAGGUAGUUGGUGGGAUAAAAGCUUACCAAGCCGACGAUCUGUAGCUGGUCUGAGAGGACGACCAGCCACACUGGGACUGAGACACGGCCCAGACUCCUACGGGAGGCAGCAGUGGGGAAUUUUGGACAAUGGGCGCAAGCCUGAUCCAGCAAUGCCGCGUGCAGGAUGAAGGCCUUCGGGUUGUAAACUGCUUUUGUACGGAACGAAAAGCCCUCUUCUAAUACAGGAGGGUCAUGACGGUACCGUAAGAAUAAGCACCGGCUAACUACGUG
rnacentral:rRNA from 1 species